GAUGAACGCUGGCGGCGUGCCUAAUACAUGCAAGUCGAGCGAACGGACGAGAAGCUUGCUUCUCUGAUGUUAGCGGCGGACGGGUGAGUAACACGUGGAUAACCUACCUAUAAGACUGGGAUAACUUCGGGAAACCGGAGCUAAUACCGGAUAAUAUUUUGAACCGCAUGGUUCAAAAGUGAAAGACGGUCUUGCUGUCACUUAUAGAUGGAUCCGCGCUGCAUUAGCUAGUUGGUAAGGUAACGGCUUACCAAGGCAACGAUGCAUAGCCGACCUGAGAGAGUGAUCGGCCACACUGGAACAGAGACACGGUCCAGACUCCUACGGUAGGCAGCAGUAGGGAAUCUUCCGCAAUGGGCGGAAGCCUGACGGAGCAACGCCGCGUGAGUGAUGAAGGUCUUCGGAUCGUAAAACUCUGUUAUUAGGGAAGAACAGAUGUGUAAGUAACUGUGCACAUCUUGACGGUACCUAAUCAGAAAGCCACGGCUAACUACGUG
rnacentral:rRNA from 1 species